GCCCGGGUGCUGAAAUUGGUAGACAGGCACGUUUGAGGGGCGUGUGUGGCAACACGUGCAAGUUCAAGUCUUGUUCCGGGCA
rnacentral:tRNA from 1 species